rnacentral:rRNA from 1 species
AUGAGGCUGAAGAGGGGGUAUUGCGCCUGCAGCAAAGAAAGCCAUCUGAUAUUUUUGUUUUCCCGCCUCCAGAUUCAUCAGCCAGUACCUUCUCUCAUCAAGACAUAUUUGGCUACUCAUCAGAGGUUCCGGGACUUAAGUUCGAUGAACAUGAAAGGUUCUUCAUUUGGAAGGAAAGGUGUCCCUGUUACCUCACCGUAUGACGCAGCGCAUACAUACCAUAUUGUUCAAUUCCAAGAAUACGAGGGAGGACCAAUGUUCCAGUAUCCUGUCCGAGAGUGCGAUGGGUACGUUGGUGGCUGGAGAGUUCUGAUGCACCCAGAAGAUGCUGAAACGGAACCAUGGUUUGAAUUUGCCCUCUUUCAUCUGCCAAGGCGCUUGUUUGUCAAUGUGGUUCCUACGAACUACCCCUUUGCUUACAAUAGCAUCAAAUCAAUCAAGCUAUCAAUCAAAAUACUCCCAGAAGUAUCCAAAUUCCUGUUGAAAACCCGCAAUUGGUAUGUGGAUCAGAGUACGAACACCCGAAAGAGAAAGGCACCGACAGUAACACCGGAAGGGAUAGUAUAUCUUAAUACUAUGAUUUUCCUUUGCGGUGAAGGCAGGCGCUAUUGGUUGUGUCUGAAAUUUGCAUGCCAGGGUCUAGAAAGCAUCAUACCCAUUAGUCCGGAUAAUGACAUAGAGAAUAUGGUUAAAUCAUGGGGAGAUGUAUGCGAGCACAUUCUAUCUUUAUAUCUGGUUGAGCUCGAGGAAGGGAUGGGCUUAAUCACUAAUCUCCAUGAGUUGGCACGCCAUGGCUUCAGGCGGUUUCUUGCCGAGGAUUCACUGAUGACCUUGCAAAGAAAAUGCAAUGGGAUGCUAUGGUGCACCGGUCCCGACAAGGAAAUCAAAUCUGAGUAUCUUUGUAAUGGCAACAUGCUUCUUCUGAAACAUCACAAAGAUCUUGUCCAGAAGAUUCUGAUGAGACAAAUGGGGUUCAAAGGAGCGUUCAAAGACACGCCAAAGUUUGUUCAAAUCGAACAUGGUGCAUGGAGAAAAGGCGAGUUCAUAAUCAAAGAAGAAGAUAUCACGCAAUAUUUGAAGCUUCUUGAAGAACGACGCCCUUGGGUCAAAACAGAUUUGGACGCUGAUGCCCACACUGGGCAGAGCUCCAGCCAGAUGGAUGGUGGUCAGAGCUCUUGCAAGAGUUUAGAUAUGGAAACAAAUUUGAUACUCAAAGUUCUUAAAGAACAACUCCCUUGGCCCCAAACUAAUUUGGAAGCUGAUGCCCACACUGCGCAGAGCUCCUGCCAGAUGGAUGCUGGACAGAGCUCUUGCCAGAGUGAAGAUAUGGAAACAAAUCUAGAUGCUGAACACUCAGUCAAGAAUGACAAGGUCCAAAUAUAUCUAGAUUCCAAGCUGGCUACUCAGAUGAUGCUAGAUGAUCUGAAUGAGCUGAGUAUGGACAACUCAAAGUUGCUGCCACUGCCGGGGCCGCAGCCUGCUCAGGAGCCCAGCUCCAGCACCGCAGCUGAAGGACAUCUUUUGUACGAGAAGGUGGUUGAAAUCACAAAGGUGCAGAUAAAAAGUUUCCAUGAGGGCUGCCUGGGCCAGAGGUUGGUCCGACAACUCUUAAAGGAUUUCAUGUGGCUGCUGGGCCCAGAGGUGUACUCUAGCGCCACAGCUGGAGUCUUUCUAGACAAGACGAUGCUUCAGGAGGCGAUAUCCAAUUUGCUGAAUGGGGAGGGCAUGCAGGACAUUGUCAAGAUAGUGAUUCCCAAAACUUUUCCCAAAGAAAUUCUGAAUGUGCUCAUGGCCGAGUGUGCUGGAAAAUACCCAGAGUGGUUGCUGACUCACAAAGAGAAUCUAGGUGAAGAAAAAUACAAGCAGUGCGAGAGUCAAAUGGAGCUCAUUAUGAACCUUGAUGUGGUUUAUGAAGAAACUCCUGAGAAUUUCUCCAAGAUACUGGAAGUGAUGUACAGGAUCGGAAGAUGCGGCUUCCCUCCAAGUGAUAUAAUUUCUGGCAUUUCUCCUAACCUUGUCGAGCAAUUAUUUACUGGGAUGCUUGAGCUGCUGCAGAGUAUGGACCAACUAUAA